UAUUAUUUGAAGCGUGACGGAAAACAAGCGUCGAUGCGAGGGAGAUCGUCACGUGAAAAGGCCAUGUGCGCUGUUCGAUCAUGUAAACAAAGUGGAAGACAGAAAGUCCAACGUUAGCUAGGCUAUAAGAGAUUCAAAGAGAAUUCAGAUAGGAAAUGGAACUAUUGAACAAUAAAUUCUGCCUGGAAGCAGGAAUUGCGGAAUACAGUGCAAGGGAUCCCGGAUACUCUAUUUCAAAAGUUAUUGGAGCUAUACAAAGAAUCUUGAUUUAUAGAAGUAUACAGGUUUAAAAAAAAAAGAAAACAGUGUUGUAAAGAAAGAAAAGGAUUUUACAUUCAAGGAAUUAUGGAUGGCACAGAGAAAUGCCUAUGGACGACGUCAUAACCAAUUUUGAAAAAUGUUUUGUUUGAAAGAAAAGGAUCUGAAGAAGGAGACAGAUCUAUUUAAAUUCGGAUGGAUUUAUAGACUGCCAGACUUAUUGCUAUCACUUAAUUCUGUACUACUAGAUCUUUUACACUGAGCCUAUAAGUUUUAGACUAGAUGAUUUAUCUAAUUUGAGAAUCCAUGACAUCAAUCUAAGCAUUUCAAGAUUACCAAUACAGAAUAUGUACAGAUGCAAUAGCAGAUGAAAUCCCACAUGUACACACACAAACAGGACACUGAUAUGUUACUGAAAUUUAGAGAUAUUUCAUUUCUCUCUU